UGACAGAACUUGGGCCCGGAC
rnacentral:miRNA from 1 species